rnacentral:rRNA from 1 species
AGUUUGAUUAUGGCUCAGAUUGAACGCUGGCGGGAUGCUUUUUACACAUGCAAGUCGAACGGCAGCACGGACUUCGGUCUGGUGGCGAGUGGCGAACGGGUGAGUAAUAAAUGGAACGUGCCUAGUAGCGGGGGAUAACUACGCGAAAGCGUAGCUAAUACCGCAUACGCCCUUCGGGGGAAAGCGGGGGGACCUUUCGGGCCUCGCACUAUUAGAGCGGCCGAUAUCGGAUUAGCUAGUUGGUGGGGUAACGGCUCACCAAGGCGACGAUCCGUAGCUGGUUUGAGAGGACGACCAGCCACACUGGGACUGAGACACGCCCAGACUCCUACGGGAGGCGCAGUGGGGAAUUUUGGACAAUGGGGGAAACCCUGAUCCAGCCAUCCCGCGUGUGCGAUGAAGGCCUUCGGGUUGUAAAGCACUUUUGGCAGGAAGAAACGGCACGGGAUAAUACCCCGUGCAACUGACGGUACCUGCAGAAUAAGCACCGGCUAACUACGUGCCAGCAGCCGCGGUAAUACGUAGGGUGCAAGCGUUAAUCGGAAUUACUGGGCGUAAAAGCGUGCGCAGGCGGUUCGGAAAGAAAGAUGUGAAACUCAGAGCUUAACUUUGGAACUGCAUUUUUAACUACCGAGCUAGAGUGUGUCAGAGGGAGGUGGAAUUCCGCGUGUAGCAGUGAAAUGCGUAGAUAUGCGGAGGAACACCGAUGGCGAAGGCAGCCCUCCCGGGAUAACACUGACGCUCAUGCACGAAAGCGUGGGGAGCAAACAGGAUUAGAUACUCCUGGUAGUCCACGCCCUAAACGAUGUCAACUAGCUGUUGGGGCCUUCGGGCCUUGGUAUGGUGCCAACGCGUGUAGUUGACCGCCUGGGGAGUACGGUCGCAAGAUUAAAUCAAAGAAUUGACGGGACUCAAAUAAGCGGUGGAUGAUGUGAUUAAUUCGAUGCAACGCGAAAACCUUACCCACUCUUGACAUGUCUGGAAUCCCGAAGAGAUUUGGGAGUGCUCGCAAGAGAACCGAACACAGGUGCUGCAUGGUCGUCGUCAAAGCUCGUGUCGUGAGAUGUUGGGUUGGUUCCGCAACGAGGGCGCAACCCUUGUCAUUAGUUACAUGAAAGGCACCCCCAUCGAGACUGCCGGUGACAAACCGGAGGAAGGUGGUGGGGAUGACGUCAAGUCCUCAUGGCCCUUAUGGGUAGGGCUUCAUCGUCAUACAAUGGUCGGGACAGAGGGUCGCCAACCCGCGAGGGGGAGCCAACUUGGUGAAACCCGAUCGUAGUCCGGAUCGCAGUCUGCAACUCGACUGCGUGAAGUCGGAAUCGCUAGUAAUCGCGGAUCAGCAUGUCGCGGUGAAUACGUUCCCGGGUCCUGUACACACCGCCCGUCACACCAUGGGAGUGGGUUUUACCAGAAGUAGUUAGCCUAACCGUAAGGAGGGCGAUUACCACGGUAGGAUUCAUGACUGGGGUGAAGUCGUAACAAGGUAA